GACGAACGCUGGCGGCGUGCUUAACACAUGCAAGUCGAACGGAAAGGCCUAGCUUGCUAGGUACUCGAGUGGCGAACGGGUGAGUAACACGUGGGUGAUCUGCCUCGUACUUCGGGAUAAGCCUGGGAAACUGGGUCUAAUACUGGAUAGGACCAUGCUUUAGUGUGUGUGGUGGAAAGUUUUUUCGGUACGAGAUGAGCCCGCGGCCUAUCAGCUUGUUGGUGGGGUAAUGGCCUACCAAGGCGUCGACGGGUAGCCGGCCUGAGAGGGUGGACGGCCACAUUGGGACUGAGAUACGGCCCAGACUCCUACGGGAGGCAGCAGUGGGGAAUAUUGCACAAUGGGCGCAAGCCUGAUGCAGCGACGCCGCGUGGGGGAUGACGGCCUUCGGGUUGUAAACCUCUUUCGCUAGGGACGAAGCUUUUGUGACGGUACCUAGAUAAGAAGCACCGGCUAACUACGUGCCAGCAGCCGCGGUAAUACGUAGGGUGCGAGCGUUGUCCGGAAUUACUGGGCGUAAAGAGCUCGUAGGUGGUUUGUCGCGUCGUCUGUGAAAUUCCGGGGCUUAACUCCGGGCGUGCAGGCGAUACGGGCAUAACUUGAGUGCUGUAGGGGAGACUGGAAUUCCUGGUGUAGCGGUGGAAUGCGCAGAUAUCAGGAGGAACACCGAUGGCGAAGGCAGGUCUCUGGGCAGUAACUGACGCUGAGGAGCGAAAGCAUGGGGAGCGAACAGGAUUAGAUACCCUGGUAGUCCAUGCCGUAAACGGUGGGCGCUAGGUGUGAGGGUCUUCCACGACUUUCGUGCCGUAGCUAACGCAUUAAGCGCCCCGCCUGGGGAGUACGGCCGCAAGGCUAAAACUCAAAGGAAUUGACGGGGGCCCGCACAAGCGGCGGAGCAUGUGGAUUAAUUCGAUGCAACGCGAAGAACCUUACCUGGGCUUGACAUAUGCAGGAUCGGCGUAGAGAUACGUUUUCCCUUGUGGUCUGUAUACAGGUGGUGCAUGGUUGUCGUCAGCUCGUGUCGUGAGAUGUUGGGUUAAGUCCCGCAACGAGCGCAACCCUUGUCUUAUGUUGCCAGCAUGUUAUGGUGGGGACUCAUGAGAGACUGCCGGGGUUAACUCGGAGGAAGGUGGGGAUGACGUCAAAUCAUCAUGCCCCUUAUGUCCAGGGCUUCACACAUGCUACAAUGGUCGGUACAACGCGCUGCGAGCCUGUGAGGGUGAGCGAAUCGCUGAAAGCCGGCCUCAGUUCGGAUUGGGGUCUGCAACUCGACCCCAUGAAGUCGGAGUCGCUAGUAAUCGCAGAUCAGCAACGCUGCGGUGAAUACGUUCCCGGGCCUUGUACACACCGCCCGUCACGUCAUGAAAGUUGGUAACACCCGAAGCCAGUGGCCUAACCUUUGUGGGAGGAGCUGUCGAAGGUGGGAUCGGCGAUUGGGACG
rnacentral:rRNA from 1 species